rnacentral:misc_RNA from 1 species
GUUCAAAACAGAAGGACUGAAGCAGCAAGAAACCCUGAAUGGUCUGCCAAAAGCUAUUCGUUCAAGCAUUGCACACUAUCUCUUCUACCCCAUUGUCGAAAAAGUUUAUCUGUUUCAAGGGGUUUCUCAUGACUUCCUCUUCCAAUUGGUAAUACUUCACAUGUUGCUUAUCAUUCUUGUAUGGGCAUAACACUUUUCCUUCUCCUCUUUCUCCUCCUUCUCCUCCUGCCUUUUCCCUUCUCAAGGUGCAAGUGUAAGCAGCUCUAUAGCUGUGCAAAAAAACAAUUAACCAACAAUCUGUAUGGUUUUGGAAAAUUAAAGUAAAUAUUAAUACCAGAUAUUGGUAGAUGCUGAUCAAUUUACUCUUUCUCAAAGGCUUCAGAUAUGGAGGCUGAAUAUUUUCCGCCCAAGGAGGCCAUAAUUCUGCAGAGCGAAGCUUCAACAGAUCUUUAUAUA